UUUACCUCUCCAAAUGACUUUAGGACCAUCGACUGUCCGAGCCCCCCAGGAGGUAUCCCAUCUACCAGAACCAGUGAGUUCGGAUCAGUCUGAUUCUCUGUGCUCUGAGUCGGAGGGGGACUAGCUUGAGAGCUAGGGGUUUUGGCCAACACCCAGAUCCACCUGAUGUCCUCCAUUACCAACCAUUGUUUUCAUUACCUCAUCUACAGCUACUGUUGUCAUUACGUCAUCUACAGCUACGGUUAUCAUUAUCUGCUAAGAAAGCUGUCUUGCGCUAUCAUACUGGGCACAUAAUAUGUGAGAGACACAGAUUAACUAAAAACAUUAGCACUGAAAAUCCUCUGAACAAAGCGAACAGCAGUGCCUGGACUUCGCAGUCUCCUUCUUCAAGUCCCCCCUUCUGAGACUGGGUGCCUGUUGAGAACAAGUGACAGGCAGAAUCUCCCACCCACACAGCAACCACCUCCUAUAUUCCACACACCAGAAUUAUGUAUUUAGUCUAUGAUUGCCAUGUGAAAAUAAAUUAAUGACACAACUGUACCAAAAAAUAUCAACGUUUCUGUGUUACAAUCUUAAAUAUUGACGGGUUGGUUUUCACAACAUGUUCAUUGCUGUAAGGUAUCCUUUGAUGGUAUUUAUUUGUUCCUCAUUAUUCAUUGAAUGUAGUAAAUUCUGCCGUAGGGAAAGCGUGCAUCUCACAGGUGAGGGCAACGACCUCUUCCUUGAGUUUGAGAGCUGAUCCCUCUUUUGUUCUAGCAAGAGCUGUGCUCUUGGGGUAAUUCUCAAAAUGCAUUUAUUUUUAAUUUUUAAAAGGAAGUGUCAGGGAACAUUGUUUUUUACAUGUAUCUAACCUUUGUGUAGUGACAGUGUCCAUAUAUACUGUACUUCCAUAAAUGUUUUAUACUGGUAUAAGGGGACUUUAUGUAUUAACCUAUCAAGAUCAAAUAUUGUAGUUGGGCAACAUAUGAGAUGUGAAUAUAAAACAUUUCAUUCUGAAGUUGGAGUGUACUUUCUCUUGAUUCAGCUCAAAUAACGGCCGUCAUUGAUUUAAAGAAAUGUUGUGACAUUUUUUACGUGGUUGCGUCAUAUUUCUUUGCGUACUUUCUAUUGAAGCUUGCAUCAAUGCAUGCUUCAAAAUAUGUACAAACGGAGUUUGCAUUUUGAGAAGUGCCCUCCAUGCUCCAUUUCGCAUGCUUUCAUUUGGAAUCGUACUCCGAUCCUCCCGUGCUCCAAUUUUCGUUGUAUGCAUUUUGAGAAUUACCCAUCGACUUUGACAGACCAUUUAAAUUUCUUGAAUCCUUCCUUCCAAAAUGAUUUUGUUCAUUUACUCAAUAGUGAUUUCACGUUUAUUUAUCUUGCUUGGUUAAAAUACAAUACUCAAAAACAGUCGAUUUGUUGACUCAUUUAAUCACGUUAAAACCCAUUUCCUUUUCUUUUGACUGUGUGCUACUACAGGCGGCAACCUGAUCUCAUACCAUUUCUUAUUAUUCUGUAUGGAUAUUUUUAUGUGAAGGUGGCGAGGCAGUCCUUCGUGGGCAAAUUUUGUCAUCAAACUUUGUAAUCAAAGUCUGUCAUUCUCUGGAUUUAUGGUGAUUUCAAGACAACUGGGAACUCUGAAAAAAACAAGGUUGAAUCAUGAUGACGUCAGUGAUCUUCAGGUCAUAGCUCUAGAAUGAGGCCUGAGUUCCCAACUUACAAUUCCGAGUUGGCCAGUUUGUUUUGUGGCGUCAAGCCUACCAGUAUUUUACCCUUGCUCCUGUCUUUCUCUAGUUCCUGUUUUUCUGUACCUUUCGUACUCUGCUCUGGAUUAUGGACCUAUGCCUGCCCUUGACCUGUCGUUUGCCUACCCCACUGUUUUUGUAACAAACUUCUGUUACUUUGAAACUGUCUGCAUCUGGGUCUUCUCCUGCGCAUUGACAGUACGAACUGGCCAAUAUGGACCCAGCAGACUCGGACCAGCUUCGCAACGCCGUCUCCUCCCAAGGAGCCGCCAUUGGAAAGCACGAGGAGUUGCUUCCUGUUCUUAUAGAAGGGUUCCAGACCUUGGCUGAACGCCAUGACCGCUCGUUGAACACUUUGCUGGAGCAAUUCCGCGUGUUGUCUGUCAGGCAGCCUACCAUGACAGUAACCUCCCAGCCCCUCAGUAAACCGGCUGUUAGCAGCGCCGCCACCCCGGUUUCCCGGGAACCCCGCUUACCUCCCCCGAAACGCUUUGCUGGAUAGUCAGGAACCUGUAGGGCAUUUCCCACGCAGUGUUCUCUCAUCAUUGAGCUGCAGCCCUCCUCCUCCCCCUCAAACCGCUCGAAGAUAGUGUAUCUCAUCACGCUGAUGUCCUGGAGGGCUCUCACCUGGGCUACGGUCGUGUGGGAACAACAGUCGGUCGUAUGCUUCAGUCUGGAGGAGUUUGUGGCGGAGGUGAAGAAGGUUUUCGAUUCUCCAUGGUCCGGGAGAGAGGCUGCCCGGAAGUUACUCCAGCUUCGGCAAGACUCCCGCAGUGUGGCAGACUAUGCAGUGGAUUUCUGCUCAUUGGCAGCUGAGAGUUGCUGGAACCCGGAAUCGUUAUUCGACACGUUCCUGCAUGGAUUAUCGGAGGAAGUGAUGAAUGAGCUAGCAGCCCGGGAACUACCGAUGGAUCUCGACUCGCUCAUUGCCUUCGACCUUCCGUAUUGAUAGGCGGCUAUGGGAAUGUAGGAAGGAGGUCCAAUUUCACUCUCCCACCCAAGGAUUCCACCUCGCCUCUGAGGCAUCCCGGAAGUCCCCGACGUCUGGGUGGCCGAAAGUCUGCCGAUUCACCUCUUCCCGAGCCGAUGCAACUAGGCAGAGCUAGGCUGUCCCCAGCCUAACAUCUACACCAGCUCCUCAUGAAAAGUUGCCUGUAUUGAGGGACUACUGGUCAUUUUUUGUCUUCCUGUCCACUAAAAGACCAGGCUCACCGGUAGGGGCAAGUACUCUGGUGUUCCAUAUGGAUAACUUUUCCUCUCUCCUUACUCGCACCCCUUUCCAUGCCAUCCUGCUGUGGGGGAACUAGUUGAAAUCUCUCCGGGUACUCAUUGACUCUGGGGCCGAUAAGAGUUUUAUGGACGCUCCCCUGGUGUCCGAGCUGGGCAUCCCCACUCAGCCCCUUUCCAUUCCCAAUUGACGUUAGAGCGCUGGACGGGCGCUCUAUAUGCCGGGUCACUCACAAUACCACUCCAAUCAACCUUUGAGUGUCAGAGAAUCAGAGCAAGGCAAUCCAAUUCAUACUAAUUAAGUCUCCUCCGGAUCCUGUGGUAUUAGGAUUCUCUUGGUGACACAAUUGCUCAUAGACUGGACUGCUGGUGCCAUCAUGGGCUGGAGCCCGUUCUGCCUCUCCCAAUUCCUUGAAGUCAGCUCAGCCGGCCCUGGGAUGUCUUCCUGUGGGCUUGGAAGUUGGGCCACUUUACUCCCACCGCACCGACCCUAUAAACUGCGGGAUCGCCCUUCUCUCAGGCACCACACCGCUCCGGGGACGACUGUACUCUCGGUCAGGUCCGGAGACCUACAUCAAGGACUCCCUAGCUGCAGGGUGUAUCCGUCCUUCUGCCUUCCCCGCCAGUGUACAUUGUCUGUAAAUCCCAGCUCGCCUGGUACAUUGUUUGCUGUCACAACCCAUUCGGGAUGCACCGUUUCAGUUUCAAUGACUCAAUAUUUUGAACAAAAUCGGACGACUUGUAACUAAGGCUGGGAAUGUCAAUACAAUCAAACUAGCAAGGGUAAUGAUCACAAGUCCGUCAUAAUGUGGCUAAUAGGCUAGCACACAUGUGUCAAACAAGGUCUGUGGGCCGAAUAGGACACACAAGCGAGUAUAAAUUAGUCGACAGUUGAAUCAUCUACUUUAGGAAAUUACAGCCUGAUGUGAUGGCAUUGGCGAAUUUAACUUAAAUUGUGUUACUUUUGUGUGUCUCAUUUACAGCGCGCAGCAGAAUGAAAGUGUACAGACGCAAGCCACAGUCCUAGCUAGGCUACUAAAAUGUUGCAGUCUGACUUUGGUUUUUAAAGCUUGACAAUUAAUAAACAAAAAGCAAAACACAAUUCAAAGUAGAAACAUUUAGGCCUAUUAGAGCAACAUUUGAGCAGUAGCCUAGGUUGGCUCUCAAGCACAAUAGCUACAUAUUGAGUUCACCAUACUGCAAUUCAAUCGCACUGUUGAUCCAUCCAGUGCAAGAAAAUGAAAAACAUGUUUUAAGUUGAAAUGUUUCAACAACCUAUACAGUAGCUACAUUUUUGUAUUUUGAAAUUAUAACAUACUUUUUGAUUAGGCUUGCAACAUAUUAUGCACAUCUGUAUAAGGUUGAACAGGCUGAAGAAAUAUUAUUUUCCUCUUUUUGUUUUAAUAUGUUAAAAUGCUAUAUACAGCAUCCUAUGUACACAAGUUGACAUUAUAAAGGGCCAUAUUUUUCAAAUAAAACAAUGGCCAUUUUGGGUAUCA
ensembl:lncRNA